rnacentral:rRNA from 1 species
CCUACGGGAUGCAGCAGUGGGGAAUAUUGGGCACUGGAGUCAACUCUGAUCCAGCAAUGCCGCGUGCGUGAUGAAGGUAAUUUUAGUGUAACGCUCUUUUCUUUGGAACGAAUAAAUGACGGUAACAAAGGAAUAAGCCCCGGCUAACUACGUGCAAGAAGCCGCGGUUAUACGUAGGGGGCCAGCGUUGUUUGGAAUGACUGGGCGUAAAGGGUGUGUAGGUGGUUUGAUAAGUUAGAUGUGUAAUACCCAGGGAUUAACUCGGGUGCUGCAUCUAAAACUGUUAGACUUGAGUACUGGAGAGGAGAGUGGAAUUCCUAGUGUAGCGGUGGAAUGCGUAGAUAUUAGGAGGAACAUCAGUGGCGAAGGCGACUAUCUGGACAGCAACUGACACUGAGGCACGAAAGCGUGGGGAGCAAACAGGAGUAGAUACCCUUGUAGUC